GCACGACGCCAUUUGCACAGUACAAUGCGCGCUAUGCGAAGUCCGGAAGCGGGUGAAAAUCCAGCACGGUCGCGCCACUGUGACCGGCCAUAAAGCGAUGAACCCCUCCUCGCGCGCCGGAAGUCAGACCUGGCUCCGCACAUGUAUCCAUC
rnacentral:ncRNA from 2 species